CUGUAGAGUCGGCUGCAUUUGUUUGUGUAACACUUUUUAAGCCAUAAAUGGGAUUUAAUUACUGCGUUGUGUUUGAUUUGGAUGUCCUUAAGUGCUGUAUGGGAAACAUUUAGGAGUGUUUGGCUUCCCUAAAAUGGCGGCGUGUCAGCAGGGACUCAGACGGUGCAGGAUGUCAUGACGUCAUCCUUCAGGCAAUGCAUGAUGGGACAGACAGGGUCAUGGAUCCUCAGAGCUUCGGGUUGUGUUCUUCUGCUGGAGCUCCUCACAGGUCUGCAGGACACAAGGGAAGACGCGCUUAUUCAGAGAUGGUGUGUAUUUGUUUGAGGAAGCCUGACACACACACACACACCUUUAGACCCAAGUGAGUCAGUCAGGAGGAAAGAGUCUUACCUGAUGUGAGAGCUGCAAGGAGCACGCUGACAUGUCAGUGUUAGCAGGCCGACUGCAAGUGGACCUGAAGUCCAGCUGAGUUUUGAGAGGAAACUUUCACUUCACUUUUCUUUUCAGCGUGUCACUAAGAACACAUGCGGCCCCUUCUCAUAAGUCACAUGGCCACCCGCAGUCCAAUACAAUGGCAUGGGAGUGAGACUUCGCUCAAAGAUAACUGUGUGUGGCUCCAUCAUGUUGACCUCGGCUCUCCAAAGCCUGGCAUUGAGAGCCCUUGGUGGACCACAGCAGUUUUUGUUGGCCGUUAAACACAAAACAUCACAAAUCUAAGUAUAACAAAUCUAUAGUUUUAGUUUUCUAGGUUUUGCUCCAAUGUCCAUACAAUCCUGAGGGAAACACACACACACACAUAUGAGAAAAAGUAUUGUUUUUCACUUAAAAACUGUCAAAGUCCAUCCAUCCAUUUUAUGUACUGCUUAGCCUCACGAGGGUUGCAGGUAUGCUGGAGCCUAUCCCAGCUGACUUCAGGCGAGAGGCGGGUCCACCCUGGCUUGGUCGCCAGCCAAUCACAGGUCAAACAAAGUGAUGUUGGGAAUUAUUUGUUAAUUAUUAACAAGAGAAUGACUCAAACGUUGCCUCUGUUGUUUUCACUGCUUUUAUAUACUUUUAGCAUCAAUGCCUGUGCAAAUAUUUACAAUUAAAAGUGUUCUGAA